rnacentral:rRNA from 1 species
AACGAACGCUGGCGGCAUGCCUAACACAUGCAAGUCGAACGAGACCUUCGGGACUAGUGGCGCACGGGUGCGUCACGCGUGGGAACCUUCCCUUGGGUUCGGACUAACUCCCCGACAGGGGUGCUAAUACCGGAUCAUGUCUUCGGCCCAAAGAUUUAUUGCGUUUGGUUGGGCCAGCGUUGGAUUAGAUAGUUGGUAGGGUAAAAGCAUACCAAGGCGACGAUCCAUAACUGGUCUGAGAGGAUGAUCAGCCACACUGGGACUGGGACACGGCCCAGACUCCUACGGGAGGCAGGAGUGGGGAAUAUUGGACAAUGGGCGAAAGCCUGAUGCAGCAAUGACGCGAGAGUGAUGAAAGCCUUAGGGUUGUAAAGCUCUUUUACCCGGGAUGAUAAUGACAGUACCGGGAGAAUAAGCUCCGGCUAACUCCGUG